rnacentral:rRNA from 1 species
GACGAACGCUGGCGGCGUGCUUAACACAUGCAAGUCGAACGGAAAGGCCCUGCUCUUGUGGUGUGCUCGAGUGGCGAACGGGUGAGUAACACGUGAGUAACCUGCCCUUGAAUUUGGGAUAACUCCAGGAAACUGGGGCUCAUACCGGAUAGGAGAUCCUGAUGCAUGGUGGGGGUUGGAGAGUUUCGGUGGUUGGGGAUGGACUCGAGGCUUAUCAGCUUGAUGGUGGGGUAGUGGCUUACCAAGGCUUUGACGGGAAGCCGGCCUGAGAGGGUGACCGGCCACAUUGGGACUGAGAUACGGCCCAGACUCCUACGGGAGGCAGCAGUGGGGAAUAUUGCACAAUGGGCGGAAGCCUGAUGCAGCAACGCCGCGUGCGGGAUGACGGCCUUCGGGUUGUAAACCGCUUUCGCCUGUGACGAAGCGUGAGUGACGGUAAUGGGUAAAGAAGCACCGGCUAACUACGUG